rnacentral:lncRNA from 1 species
CCGGGUUGACAUGGCUAUAUGUUCUAGCCAUGCUUAUUUGUGGUGGUUGCUAGGAAUUUCUGGAAGAAUGCCUUGAUUAUUGCUGCUUUGUAUGGCUAAGCAAUCCUUUUUUUUCCUUCCCACUAUUGUUCUUUGAGGCACAGAGUGUCCAUACCUUGUGGCUCCUUGAUUACUGCUGCUUCAUAUGGCUAAGCAUUCUUUUUUCCUUUGUUUUUGUUUUUUGAGGCACAGCAUGGCCCUUCCUUGUGGCUAGCGAACAUCUACACUUGCUUGUGAUGAAUUUUGCUGGAACAAUCUAGUGGUGUCAAAAGACUAAUAUGAUCUUUGCCUUUGUGCAGAGGAUAAGCCACCUGCUGCAUCAGAUUGCACUAAUGAACGAGAUUCUAGCCCAACGUCACCGAGUUACGAUACUGAGGAGGCUCUGACCUCAUCUGUUUGCAAUAUUGGCAGCAGCAGCUUAGGGUAACCCCAAUGCUUGUUAAUGAUCUGAUGCUGCACCAUUUAGUCUCAGUGAGAAUAUUUGUAAUUAACCGUGAGUUAUCUCUGCAUAUAUAUUUUCAUGAUACUUCUAAAACUUUAUUUAUGUUCUUAAGAUGGCGUAUUUAGGUAUGUCGUCAUCACAAAAAAAGUUUUUUUUUUUUUUGCAGAGCAUUUAAAAAUAAUUAUAAGAAUAAAAAUUCUGGUGAUAUUUUUCAGGACUCCAUCCAGAGCUCAAAAUGCUUAAUGUGUUAUGUGGGUUGGUGAUGUACCUUGAUUGAAAGAAUGCGAAACUGUUUUAAGUUGGUGUAGUUGGUUUUGGGACGAUAUAGUUUGUAGCAUUCAUGGUGGAUCUAUUCCAGGU